rnacentral:misc_RNA from 1 species
CCUUUUAUUAAGUUUGCUGGAAGACAGGAAAUUAGUUUGUUUGAAGCAGGGGAGACUUACUAUUAUCAACUUUGAUGGCUGCAAUGGAUCCUAUAGAUAUCAGUUCUGAUAGUGAUGAUUGGUUUGAAGAUGAUGACUUUGAUACAUCACCUAUAAGGAGAUCUACUGAGUCUAGGGUUCUUCCAUCUUGGGCUACUACGGCAGGCAAGACUCUAGGAGGCAAACUCCACAUACUUCUCCCAGAAGAGAACAUGGUUCUAAUGGGAGCUCAUCAAGUGUAAAUGAUCAUUCAUUUCUAAAAUCUUCACAUCGGUUAACUACAC